rnacentral:rRNA from 1 species
GAUAAACGCUGGCGGCAUGCCUAAUACAUGCAAGUGGAACGAGUCAUUUCGGUGAUUCGUCGCGAACGGGUGAGUAACACGUAGAUAACCUACCUAGUAGAGGGGGGAUAACCAUUGGAAACGAUGGAUAAUACCGCAUAGAUACUCCAUAGGCAUCUAAGGAAGUAGAAAGGAGCAAUUGCUCCGCUAGUAGAUGGAUCUGCGGCGCAUUAGCUAGUUGGUGAGGUAACGGCCACCAAGGCGAUGAUGCGUAGCCGGCCUGAGAGGGUGAACGGCCACAUUGGGACUGAGACACGGCCCAGACUCCUACGGGAGGCAGCAGUAGGGAAUUUUCGGCAAUGGGGGGAACCCUGACCGAGCAAUGCCGCGUGAAGGAGAAGGUUUUCGGAUUGUAAACUUCUGUCAUCGGGGACGAUAAUGACGGUACCCGAGAAGGAAGCUACCGGCUAACUACGUG